UCUGCAUCUACCUCCAUCGAAAAGCAAAAUAUUGGAAUUUGGAAUAUUGAACUGUAAGAUUAACAUUAAAACUCUUGUUAUGAACAACUGGAGGCAGCGGUACCUUCGGAAUAUUAACAAAAGGAAGCCUUAUUAUCUGGAGACAACGAGUGCUAGCUGUUUAAUACAGCAUCCCCCAAUACACAGUCGUCCCUCAGGUGACAAUUUUUAUCACUCAUACCAAAAGGUCUUACACAGUAUGAAGUUAAAAAUAUUCAACAUCCGGUAGGAAUUUAUUAUCAAGCUUUAACAAGUGUAUUUGGUGGAUUCUCAAGAUGGUGUAUUCAAGAAUUUGAUCAAUUACACUAUACAUUAUAAUUUUAUGUCAAAUAUGCAUACAAUGUUAUACUGUWGCAGUUUAAGAUGAUGUAAUACUUCAAAAUACACAAAUUUAAAUAAUGGACAUUUAUUGAUUAUUGCUUGUCAUAAGGGAUCCAGUUGUUGCUCGCAGGAUUCGGUAUUGGGAGGUUGUUACUGAGAUGAAUGGUGCUCAUGCACUAUCUUAAGGAAGACACUGUUGUAUUGACAGGGAAGUGGAAGGUGAUGUUUUCUUUGCUGAAAAUGUGUUUCAACAGCAUACAAAUCUUAACAACUAAUUUUUUUUACAUUUUUCUGCCUUUUCUGACUUUUUUUUACAUCUAAUUUUUUGACAUUUUUAAUAAUUCCCUAUUAAUUUUAGAAGUUAAGCUUUAAGUAAGUGCUUUUCUGAAGAUUUCAGUUAGGAUUUACCUCAUUUAAAAUUUUUCACAAUCACAUCAGUGGACAUGUAGAGAAUUUUUUCUAAAUAAAAAUAUUUAUAAGAUAAUCGCUGUUCAUUCAAUUUUGAGUUUUGACAUCAUCAAAUAUGC